rnacentral:sRNA from 3 species
UGCAUCUGCGGCCAGUGAGGAUGAGAACCUCCGGGGCAGGAGGUUCGACUCGAGCGAAGCGAGAGAACGUUGCGUCAGCAACGGACCGCAGGGCGAGCCACAAAGUGGCGAGUCAUCCUCUAUCACCGACCA